GCGUCAAUGGGGUAAUGGUAACCCAAGUCCUUACAUGUAUCCCCCGAUGAGGUCAAGUACUUGUAGCACGACUAGUUGGGGGUUCGACUCCCUCUUGAUGCA